rnacentral:lncRNA from 12 species
UGGCUGUGUGGUGGGCAAGGGAUCUGUGCAGCAAACCCAGGUGUGGCUGUUGCCCUGUGAGCAGCACAGGCCUGUGUGUGCUCAGGUUAACAUCUCCUUGGGAUGCAGCAGCUGCCAGGUGGGAUCAUGUUCCAGGGCAGAGAUGGACUGAGUGAAAACUCCAGUGUUGCUCAUCUUGAAUGCAAAAGGGAUUCUGGUGCAUGAAAAAGAACAUCCUGGUGUCAUUGAGGAUGCAGAGCUUGUAAUUGAAGGUUUCAGUACAGUGUAAUAUCCAAGGAAAAUUCCUUGAAUCAUUGUUCUGUGUAACACAUCUGGAAGCACUGGAUGCUGUAAGAAACUAAGCAAGCAGCAGAUCUUCUACACAGGGAAGAUCUUGUCAUGCCACCAAGCUGAGCAUUAACCUGGGAGAGAUGCAGGAACUGGCUGUCAGGAAUUGCUGACUGGGAGCUGUAGGGGAUGUGAUAGGUGGGGAUGUCUGGGAUGUAAAACAAGCUGCUGAAGGAAAGGGUUUGAAAUUACAUAGGGCAAGAAUCAUUAGUGAGUUUUCAUUAGAGAAGAAAGAAUCAUGGGAAACAGGGUAGUGGAUGUAAACCAACAGCCAGGAAUGUUCCCAACUUGUUGACAAGUCCCUGCUUGUCUCAGGGCGUGUCAGGGCAUGUCAGGUGAUGAUGCAACAGUACACAGAACUUAAAAUUCUUAAGAGCCUCUUAUAUCUUGGGAGAAAACUGAGGGAAGCUGGAAGCUGAUUCUUCUAUUUUUUUACAAUCCAGCUCUGUGGGAAAGGCAGGAAAUACUGCCAGCAAAUUGCCCAAUCUAUAAGCUAGGGAUUCUGGUUUUUACCUGAGGGACGGUUCUCCAGCCAAUGUUGUUUGCACUUAAUUGAUUAUUUGGAAGCAUAUAUAAGAUCUCUACAAAUAAAAUCAGCACAUUAUGUAAAAAUAAGCAAAAAAGUCAUGAAAAGAAAAUAAUAGUGAAGUUGAGUGUGUAGCAGAGUAAUGCUCUUCACAGACUUUUGUCUUAGAACAGUCAAAUGCAAUCUUAGGUGCUUGAGGAAGAUGGUGUAUCACUCCUCCAGAGAGGACUGCAUGUUAAAAAAAGAGCUGGAUCCAAAUGCAUCCUCAGCCUUCUGUCUUAGAGCUGUUUCUACUUAAGGUCAAUGAGAACACCUCCUGCUAAUUCAUCAUGACAUAAUAUCUGGUGUCCUGCUCCAUCCACGAGAUAAGUUUAUUGCUUCAUCUUGGUCUACACAGAUGUGACUCCAGGUGUUCAGCUGCCUUGUCUGGUACAGGUAGGUUUUAGCUCUUUGAAAAACGACCUGUUUUAGUCAGGAAGGAUGUGUCUGUGCUUUGUACUGGGGAUGGAAAAUGUUUACCUUUGGGCAUAUGGGAAGUAUUAUGUUGUGAAAUAAGUCCUAAGAUGCCAGCUUGCUGCUGCUGACAUAAACUGGUCAUUUGAAUAGGCAGUUACUUCUGUGGUAGUUUGUGCUAGUGCUGGCAGGAAGAUACUGAUCUGGCAGAGCGGACUGGCUCGGAGGAAGUGACAUUGGAGGAUGCAGUGGCUAAGAGGAGUAGGAGUGAUAGUAGUAGUAGG